rnacentral:rRNA from 1 species
CUACGGGACGCUCCAGCAAGGAAUUUUGCGCAAUGGGCGAAAGCCUGACGCAGCAACGCCGCGUGGGUGAUGAAGGCCUUCGGGUCGUAAAGCCCUUUUGUUGGGGAAGAAUUCUGACGGUACCCAACGAAUAAGCCUCGGCUAACUACGUGCCAGCAGCCGCGGUAAUACGUAGGAGGCAAGCGUUAUCCGGAAUCAUUGGGCGUAAAGAGCGCGUAGGCGGCUUGUUAAGUCAGCUGUGAAAUCUCCCGGCUCAACUGGGAGAGGUCGGCUGAUACUGGCAGGCUUGAGAGCAGCAGAGGGAGGUGGAAUUCCCGGUGUAGCGGUGAAAUGCGUAGAGAUCGGGAGGAACACCAGUGGCGAAGGCGGCCUCCUGGGCUGUUUCUGACGCUGAGGCGCGAAAGCGUGGGGAGCAAACAGGAUUAGAUACCCGGGUAGUC